UACGGGGGGGGCAAGCGUUGUUCGGAAUCAUUGGGCGUGAAGCGCGUGUAGGCGGUCCGGUAAGUCCGCUGUGAAAGUCGGGGGCUCAACCCUCGGAUGCCGGUGGAUACUGUCGGGCUUGAGUACGGAAGAGGCGAGUGGAAUUCCUGGUGUAGCGGUGAAAUACGCAGAUAUCAGGAGGAACACCAAUUGCGAAGGCAGCUCGCUGGGACGUUACUGACGCUGAGACGCGAAAGCGUGGGUAGCAAACAGG
rnacentral:rRNA from 1 species